rnacentral:rRNA from 1 species
CACCAGCCCCCGAGUGGUGGGGAUGAUUAUUUGGCCUAAAGCGUCCGUAGCCGGCCCGGUAAAUCUCUCGUUAAAUCCAGCGUCCCAAGCGUUGGGCUGCGAGGGAGACUGCCGGGCUAGAGGGUGGGAGAGGUCAGCGGUAUUCCUGGGGUAGGGGCGAAAUCCAUUGAUCCCAGGAGGACCACCAGUGGCGAAGGCUGCUGACUAGAACACGCCUGACGGUGAGGGACGAAAGCUGGGGUAGCGAAUCGGAUUAGAUACCCGAGUAGUCCCAGCCGUAAACGAUGCAGGCUAGGUGUUGGGGCGGCCACGCGCCGCCUCAGUGCCACAGGGAAGCCAUUAAGCCUGCCGCCUGGGGAGUACGGCCGCAAGGCUGAAACUUAAAGGAAUUGGCGGGGAGCACCACCAGGCGUGAAGCCUGCGGUUU